rnacentral:rRNA from 1 species
ACGCUGGCGGCGUGCUUAACACAUGCAAGUCGAACGAUGAAGCCUAGCUUGCUAGGUGGAUUAGUGGCGAACGGGUGAGUAAUACGUGAGUAACCUACCUUUAACUCUGGGAUAAGCCUGGGAAACUGGGUCUAAUACCGGAUACGACCAAUCUCCGCAUGGGAUGUUGGUGGAAAGCGUUAUGUAGUGGUUAUAGAUGGGCUCGCGGCCUAUCAGCUUGUUGGUGAGGUAACGGCUCACCAAGGCGACGACGGGUAGUCGGCCUGAGAGGGUGACCGGCCACACUGGGACUGAGACACGGCCCAGACUCCUACGGGAGGCAGCAGUGGGGAAUAUUGCACAAUGGGCGCAAGCCUGAUGCAGCGACGCCGCGUGAGGGAUGACGGCCUUCGGGUUGUAAACCUCUGUUAGCAGGGAAGAAGAGAAAUUGACGGUACCUGCAGAGAAAGCGCCGGCUAACUACGUGCCAGCAGCCGCGGUAAUACGUAGGGCGCGAGCGUUGUCCGGAAUUAUUGGGCGUAAAGAGCUUGUAGGCGGUUUGUCGCGUCUGCUGUGAAAGGCCGGGGCUUAACCCCGUGUAUUGCAGUGGGUACGGGCAGACUAGAGUGCAGUAGGGGAGACUGGGAUUCCUGGUGUAGCGGUGGAAUGCGCAGAUAUCAGGAGGAACACCGAUGGCGAAGGCAGGUCUCUGGGCUGUAACUGACGCUGAGAAGCGAAAGCAUGGGGAGCGAACAGGAUUAGAUACCCUGGUAGUCCAUGCCGUAAACGUUGGGCACUAGGUGUGGGGGACAUUCCACGUUUUCCGCGCCGUAGCUAACGCAUUAAGUGCCCCGCCUGGGGAGUACGGCCGCAAGGCUAAAACUCAAAGAAAUUGACGGGGGCCCGCACAAGCGGCGGAGCAUGCGGAUU